CUUCACCACCACCCCGGGUAGCCCUUUCCAGUGUCUGAUCACCCCUUUUGUGAAAAAAUUCCUCCCAGUGUCCAGCCUAAACCUCCUUAGGCGCAGCUUGAGACCGUGUCCUCUCAUGCUGUCACGAGUUCCCUGGAAGCAGAGCCCGACCUCCACCUGGCCACAGCCUCCUUGCAGGUUCAAUUUCUCAUGUAAAGCUCAGGGCUGAGAGGCAGAAAGCACUUCCUGGGAGAUGGAGGCUCUUGUAAUUCCUUUUUGGAGACUGGAGAGUCCAUGGGCUACUUGUCCCAGUUUCUGAAUUACUGGUCUUCAGCAUGAUCAACAUCAGGAAAUGUGAACAUGAAUUAAAUCCAAAAUGCAUCUUAUUGUGUAAAAGUCAUACCCAUAGAAAUGGUUUAAAACGAGGCUACAUCACCUCAGAAUGCUCUACUGCCCUUAAGAUCAUUGAAGCAAGGGUCUUGAAGAAGAUGGAAUGAAC